rnacentral:rRNA from 1 species
GAUGAACGCUGGCGGCGUGCCUAAUACAUGCAAGUCGAGCGAACGGACGAGAAGCUUGCUUCUCUGAUGUUAGCGGCGGACGGGUGAGUAACACGUGGAUAACCUACCUAUAAGACUGGGAUAACUUCGGGAAACCGGCGCUAAUACCGGAUAAUAUCUUGCACCGCAUGGUUCAAAAGUGAAAGACGGUCUUGCUGUCACUUAUAGCUGGAUACGGGCUGCAUUAGCUAGUUGGUAAGGUCACGGCUUACCACGGCAAGUAUGCAUAGACGACCUGAUGGGGUGAUCGGCCACACUGGAACUGAGACACGGUCCAGACUCCUACGGGAGGCAGCAGUAGGGAAUCUUACGCAAUGGGCGAAAGCCUGACGGAGCAACGCCGCGUGAGUGAUGAAGGUCUUCGGAUCGUAAAACUCGGUUAUUAGGGGAGAACAUAUGUGUAAGUAACUGUGCACAUCUUGACGGUACCUAAUCAGAAAGCCACGGCUAACUACGUG